rnacentral:rRNA from 1 species
GAGCUCGUAGGCGGUUUGUCGCGUCUGGUGUGAAAACUCAAGGCUCAACCUUGAGCUUGCAUCGGGUACGGGCAGACUAGAGUGCGGUAGGGGUGACAGGAAUUCCUGGUGUAGCGGUGGAAUGCGCAGAUAUCAGGAGGAACACCGAUGGCGAAGGCAGGUCACUGGGCCGCAACUGACGCUGAGGAGCGAAAGCAUGGGGAGCGAACAGGAUUAGAUACCCUGGUAGUCCAUGCCGUAAACGUUGGGCACUAGGUGUGGGGCUCAUUCCACGAGUUCCGUGCCGCAGCAAACGCAUUAAGUGCCCCGCCUGGGGAGUACGGCCGCAAGGCUAAAACUCAAAGGAAUUGACGGGGGCCCGCACAAGCGGCGGAGCAUGCGGAUUAAUUCGAUGCAACGCGAAGAACCUUACCAAGGCUUGACAUACACCGGAAACUUCCAGAGAUGGUUGCCCCGCAAGGUCGGUGUACAGGUGGUGCAUGGUUGUCGUCAGCUCGUGUCGUGAGAUGUUGGGUUAAGUCCCGCAACGAGCGCAACCCUCGUCUUAUGUUGCCAGCACGUCAUGGUGGGGACUCAUAAGAGACUGCCGGGGUCAACUCGGAGGAAGGUGGGGAUGACGUCAAAUCAUCAUGCCCCUUAUGUCUUGGGCUUCACGCAUGCUACAAUGGCCGGUACAAAGGGCUGCGAUACCGCGAGGUGGAGCGAAUCCCAAAAAGCCGGUCUCAGUUCGGAUUGGGGUCUGCAACUCGACCCCAUGAAGUCGGAGUCGCUAGUAAUCGCAGAUCAGCAACGCUGCGGUGAAUACGUUCCCGGGCCUUGUACACACCGCCCGUCAAGUCACGAAAGUCGGUAACACCCGAAGCCGGUGGCCCAACCCUUGUGGAGGGAGCUGUCGAAGGUGGGACUGGCGAUUGGACGAAGUCGUA